GGGGGCGAUUUUGGUUUCGACAUUGACAUUGAAGCCAAAGGUGCAUGUCGAACGAUGCAAUAAGUUCGUAAAAUAAAAAUUGCAAAUAUGUAGAUGCUAAAACUAGUCUACAAGGUGUUAUGGCUGCAAACGACUCCGGUCUAGUUGCAGUCGCUGCCUAAAAAACAGCGUCACCCUACUGCUCGGAUCUGCUUAUCGGCCUGAACCAGUAGUCAUAUAGAUAAGAUCGUAAUCGCUGCAUGGCUCGUGCAACGAUUAUUAAAACACCCGAGCUCGCCGUUAAAUAAUCCUGACUGCUGGAGUGUUAACGGUUAAAUUAAAACGCAGCUCUAAACAUGUAGAGCCGAUGGGUGAGAGUCAGUGGACGCGGGUUCGAUCCCCGCCGCCUCCAUUU
rnacentral:tmRNA from 2 species